UACAUACUCCUAUACAGUAUAGGAGUAUGUACUGAACAUUAUUCACACGUUAAAACAGCUUUGCAACUGAGAAUGUUAUCCAAACACACAUACACACACACACUCUCUCCCACACACAAAUUAGAACAUAAUUAAUUCACAUAAACAUCGCGUAUCCUUUCACCCGGAAGUUCUUUACCAGACAUUAUAAAUAGAACUGUCUAUAUAUAAAAACACCUAAACCCCAGUCAAUAACGGCCCUGACAUUUUAGAUGUCCGCAAGGGUAUAUCGCGUACAGCACAUGCGGUAAGAGUGUAUGACUGCCUUUCAGUUUUCUUCACGGUGACCGUUUCUUCUGUGAUCAAGCUCCCAUCAUUGACAGCUUCAUUGAAGUUUUCUUCACGGUGACCGUUUCAGCUGUGAUCAAGCUCCCAUCAUUGACAGCUUCCUGAAGAUGUUGGCGCUCGAAGGGUCUUAGUGUGGGAAGAAACCGGAGUACCUGGAGAAAGCCCACUUGGUCGGAUAGGAUACCCUAACCUAGUAACGUCCGUUUGGGGAAUUGAACCAAGGCCGCCUUUGUAAA